CCUUAGAGUUUGAUCCUGGCUCAGAGCGAACGCUGGCGGCAGGCUUAACACAUGCAAGUCGAGCGGGCGUAGCAAUACGUCAGCGGCAGACGGGUGAGUAACGCGUGGGAACGUACCUUUUGGUUCGGAACAACACAGGGAAACUUGUGCUAAUACCGGAUAAGCCCUUACGGGGAAAGAUUUAUCGCCAAAAGAUCGGCCCGCGUCUGAUUAGCUAGUUGGUAGGGUAAUGGCCUACCAAGGCGACGAUCAGUAGCUGGUCUGAGAGGAUGAUCAGCCACAUUGGGACUGAGACACGGCCCAAACUCCUACGGGAGGCAGCAGAAGGG
rnacentral:rRNA from 1 species